AGGCAGCUUCCAGGCAAGACUUCGCGCGCGCUGUGUUUGCUGAGGCGAUCUUGAUCGAGAAAAACGCCUUCCGAACAUUCGGAGGGACGCGUGGAAACUUCAUGUGAAUCGAGAAACGCUGUAAGCGUGCCUCUACCGAAGCUGCACUUCACUCCGCUUUCAACGACUGCAGGAGACGCCAAGAAGUGGACCGUCGUAUCCAGUAAAGAUUAAGAAGACGUUGAGAUGCUAGUCUCGCACCUUGCUGAGAAAUUUCUUGGGCCCUUUGGAACACUGCUAGUUUUGGCUCCAUGAAAAAAAGAAGAAAACAUCAUUACACCUCAGGUUGACAGGCUGGCCCCUGAAGCAAUGUGGAUUAGU